UUGCAUAUGGUCUCGGGGUUAGGAUAUUUGGCUUUCACCCAAGUGACCUGAGUUCAAUUCCCAGCAUGGAAA
rnacentral:tRNA from 1 species